CCACCGACAGCUCAAGUGGUGGUCACGUUUAUUGGGCUUAAAGCGUCCGUAGUCUGUUGUACCAGUCUUCUGUGAAAUCCAACGGCUUAACCGUUGGGCUUGCAGAAGAUACUAUACAGCUAGAGGUCGGGAGGGGGAUGGGGUAUUUCAGGGGUAGCGGUGAAAUGUUAUAAUCCCUGGAAGACCACCUGUGGCGAAGGCGCCAUCCUGGAACGGGCCUGACGAUGAGGGACGAAAGCUAGGGGAGCAAACGGGAUUAGAAACCCUAGUAGUCC
rnacentral:rRNA from 1 species